CUCAUGCUGAGGCUGUGUCCCCUCUGUGUGUUGUGAGAUGUGAAGUCUUAAAGAGGGAUUCAUGUCUUUAAUGGUCAGAUCUCAUGAGAAUAGAUUAAUUCUUGAAAGAAAAAGUUGUUGAAAGAUGAGUUCAUUUUCCUUGGUUCCCUUGCUUGAUGCCUUUCUUGUCAAGUGAUCUCUUCUUCCCUUCCACAUGUACCCAUUUCCCUUUCCACCACCAGGAAGCCCUCUUUAGAAUCCAAGCAAAUGCCAGCACCAUACUCUUGGACUCCCAGAACUACCAGCCAAAGAAACCAAUCUCUCUCUCUCUCUCUCUCUCAUCCAUAAACCACCCAGUCUCAGUUAUUUUACUAUAACAGAAAACUAAGACAGCUAUCAACUGAUGAACCUACAAGUCAAAUGUAGUAAAUCUGUACAAUAGAUAUUUCUUAGCCUUAAAAAGAAAGUUCUCGUAUGUGCUAUGGAUGAUCUUUGAAACCAGCUACAGGAAAGAAGCCAAUCACAAAAGGUCACAUAUUAUAUGCUUCUCUUUGUAUGAAUUUCCAGAAUACGCAAACCUAUAAGGACAGAAAGUGGUUGCUUAGGCUGGUGACAGACAAGGGUUUAGGGGAUGUUAGCUAAUGGACAUUGGGUUGGUUUUUGAGGUGAAGAAAAUGUUUUGAAAUUGAUCGUGGUGAUGUUUGCUCUAAAUAUAUUAAAAACCAGUGAAUUGUACACUUUAAAUUGAUGAAUUAUGAAUUCUGUAAAAUAUAUUUGUAAAAUUAUGUAAAUAUAUAUAUAAAUAUAUUUUGUAAAUUAUGUAAAAUAUAUAUCAGUAAAGCUAUUACUGAAAAAAUGAAGAAAAAAAUUUCCCUUAACAUCUUUUUCUCAUAAUCUCUUCUGGGUUAUUCCUGG
rnacentral:lncRNA from 1 species